CAGAUCUGUUGGCAUAAGCUAAAGCAAGUUCUUUGGAAGGAUUAGGGGCAUAAGCUAUGGAUUGGACUCUUUUGCAUCUUUCAUUCCGCCCCAUAUCUCAGGAAUUAUAUCAUAUUCUAACAUACAAUUAAGGCAGUGAUCCGAAAAUCGUGGGAUGUACCAUUUAGACAGCCGAAUAUGUACCUUAUCUUUAGUAGUAUAGAGGGCAGCA